rnacentral:rRNA from 1 species
UACGUAGGGGGCUAGCGUUAUCCGGAAUUACUGGGCGUAAAGGGUGCGUAGGUGGUUUCUUAAGUCAGAGGUGAAAGGCUACGGCUCAACCGUAGUAAGCCUUUGAAACUGGGAAACUUGAGUGCAGGAGAGGAGAAUGGAAUUCCUAGUGUAGCGGUGAAAUGCGUAGAGAUUAGGAAGAACACCAGUGGCGAAGGCGAUUCUCUGGACUGUAACUGACGCUGAGGCUCGAAAGCGUGGGGAGCAAACAGGAUUAGAUACCCCCGUAGUCCCUGAGCGGG